rnacentral:rRNA from 1 species
GUAGGGAAUAUUGCGCAAUGGGGGAAACCCUGACGCAGCGACGCCGAGUGAGUGAUGAAGGCCUUCGGGUCGUAAAGCUCUGUUGCAGGGGAAUAAAAAAAUGAAGGUACCCUGUGAGGAAGGAUCGGCUAACUUCGUGCCAGCAGCCGCGGUAAGACGAGGGAUCCUAGCGUUGCUCGGAAUCAUUGGGCGUAAAGAGGGCGUAGGUGGCUUGGUAAGUCAGGUGUGAAAGCCCAGGGCUCAACCCUGGAAGUGCAUUUGAUACUGCUGAGCUUGAGUGUCGGAGAGGUUACCGGAAUACCUGGUGUAGUGGUGAAAUACGUAGAUAUCAGGUGGAACACCGGAGGCGAAGGCGGGUAACUGGACGAACACUGACACUGAGGCCCGAAAGCGUGGGGAUCAAACAGGAUUAGAUACCCUUGUAGUCC